AGACGUUGUCUCUGAGCCACUAGCUGAAAUAUUUAAUAGCUCUCUUUUCGAAUAAACUUUCCUUUCUUUAUAAAAAUGGUUAAUGCUUGUCCUAUUUAAAAAAUAGACGAACUAACAGGCGACUGAGAAUCAGAAACUGCAAUAGUUUAUAAAUGGUUAUGUGAAACUGUUUUGUGCUUAACGAUGGCAAAAGCAAGCUUAUUGCUAUUGAAGCCAACCGAUUCAAUUUAGAGGAAUCUAAAGUUCAAAUUAAUGGUUUUACUUUAAAAGAAAGCAAGAAUGUUUAAUUGUUAGGAGAAACAUUGGGCCACCAACAUAGAUAAGAAUAACAUUUUAAAUUUUUUUUAAAGAAGCUGGAAGAAAAUAAACGGUCUUAUUUCAUCAAGCUUUAAUUUUUAUCCUGUUAUUUGGAUGUUUUGUAUUAGGAAAGUAAAAGCCGGAGAAAAAUGAUUCAUCAAUCUACUUUUGAACAAGUUUUGAUAAAGAAUAAAACAAUAAAUUUUCACAAGAAAAAUUUAAGAUAUCCUGUAAUAGAAAUUUAUAAAAGAUUUAACAGAUUAAAUCCUCCUUAUUUGGAUGAACUAUUUUCCAUAAAUGAAUUAGGAACCUUUCAAUUAGGAACCUUUCAAUUAGGAACCUUAAGAACCUUUCAAUUUAAAACAGCGGAGCCACAUUACAAAUUUGGAUUUUGUGCAGGGUUAUAGAUAUGGCAAAAUAUUGACCUCACUACCAAGCGAAAUUAUAUACUCUCCAACUUUACAUAUUUUAAGAAAGAAAUCUCAGAAUUUUUAUUGUCAUCUGUUAGUUUUGAUUUAUAUUAUAUUUAGCGACGAUAAUUCAAGUUAUUUUGUUUUAAUUAUAUUGAGUAUAGCUAGAAAUGGUACCAACAUUAAUAAAGAAAAAACGGCAAGAUAUGUCACGCCUACAAAGGUAGCUAUCUGGAUGUUGCCUUAUGAUCGCUAUUAAUUAGUCCCGAAUCUCCAAUAAUUAUGCUGAAAUAUAUUGCUUUGUCAUGAUAUGUAUUACUAUUUGCAAAUGCUGUUUUCUAGGUCCUGUGGCUACAUCGAUUUGAGACGUGACAAAAAUACUUUGUCAAACUCUCUGCCAAGGACACGAUUAAAUAUGAUGAAAAGACUAUUAAAAUAAAUAAGACAGCACAAUGCUCAAAAAGAAAGACAGACUCGUGACAGCGAAUCCAUGUAUUCUUAGGCGGAAAUCUGCUUGAGAAAGCACUUGACCACAUUCAAAGUUUGGAAGCUGCUUGGUUCUCUGAAUGGCUGAAGUCUGAUGACGUAAUGUUGCCCUUACAUUAACCUAGUCUUAAAAACAUCGUUUGACUUCUUUAAUGUAUGUUUCAAAACCACAUUAAGUCUAUGGCUGCCAGAUGAACAAGUAUUAAAUCAUGCAACUUUGUAACUGCUGUUGCGGUGACUUUUUUGCUACUUGAAUCGCAAUGACGAAAAUAAGACAUAAAAGGCCUCGAUCUCUACUCGUCUACUGAAUAUACUCACAAUAGUUUAACUUGGUUUUCACUGUCCCAAGGCUUUUUACAGAAGAAGAGAAAAGCAUAAGCUGAUCUUGACAGCUUGACCCAACGUAGUUAAGCCAUUACAAGGAUUUUUUCACAGGCAUCUACUAGGAUAGAACAAGACGUACUUCUUGUUUCAAACAUUUACUUCCAGAAAGUUAUAUUGGUAAUAAAUAUGUUUAUUAGAGCUGAUUUUCGUAAAUAAUGGAUUUGAGAUUAUUCUGUCCUGUUUUUGUAUUCCGGCUGUCGUUGAUUUCUAGAUAUUUUUACAUGUUAUAUGAAUCUAUCGUAGAAAUUGAAAUGCAAGUAUCUAGAUAGAACUUAUUCACGGUGUUCUGACUUGUGUUAUGUAAGUGAAUUGCCAGGGAUUUAUUUCUUAACAAGGGAAGCCAGUGGAAGUUUCUGAGAUAUUCAAGACUGCUGUCGUCAAAGGAAAGCAUACUCUAUACGUACCUGUCGCUUUUAAGAGGGCUCUGACAAGUGUUUUCGAAGGCUUCAAAGUUUCACAGAGUUGCUGCAGAUUGUUAGGCCACUGUGUGAAGACAUCAAAGUUGAAAGAGUUCUGAAAUAAGAAAUUUCACAGCUUUUAGAAAAGUCGUUUGAGGUGAGAAGAGGUGAUUUAGUUUUAUUUAUUUAUCGCAAAACAGAUGAAGUAAUUUCAUUGAACUGGGAUAUAUUGCUGUUUGGAAGAUUGCACUAUCAAAAAUCGUUCAAGAUAGCUAAAGGUGUAAUUAACCUGACAGUUUCUGGUGCCACUUCACUUAACCUAGUUUAUUUGCAUUCAAGAGAUAUCAGAUCGAAAUAAAAAAAGUGAUCAAAACAAAUUCUACCAGUUUUUGGAUGCAGUGGAAGUAAGUAAUAUGCAAGUGAAUUCAUUGAAAUUGGGCUACUGCUGUUGGUUUGGCCAGCUUCUGCUGCAAAUGAGAUGAAGGAAAAUAAUGGCGAUGGCCAUACUUUGAUGAUAUUGCUAAGAAGGUCGAUGGAGUGCAAAGACAUUUGGAUGUUUCUUUAACAGAUGAAGCAGUCACCUCAGAAGAAUACCUUUAAACUAGAGGAUAAUGAAUUCGCUUGCAAAGGAUCUAAACUUUCAGGAAGAAAGGUGAUGAAGAAUUGCAUCAUACAAAUAACCCCUUCCAUCAUGAAAGAAUUCUACCCAAGUACGUUUAGGGAUUAGUUGAAGACGAAAGAACGUAAGUCGAUUAUGCAUGCUUAGACCGGAAGUUGCUUAGAAAGUUCAUUUGAACACAUUCAAAAUUCAGAAGCUGCUUGGUUUUUCGAAUGGCUGCAGUCUGAUAACGCAGUAGACUUUUUUCGAAGAUAAUGGUGAUGACCAUCCUUGAGCACUUGAGGAGCGAACCGAUAGAGUACAAGGACAUUCAGAGAUUUCUUGAUCUGGUGAAGCAGUCAUCUCAAAAGACUUCUUUUGGAUUCAAGUUGGCACAAUAGUGUCGAAGAUGAGGUGUUGGUGCAAAACACUCCUGUCUUCAUCUUGGCCUACAACGACAUGUAAGCCUAGCUUUUGACGAACACUUCUCCUGAAUGAAGAACAGUCCAUAAGAUAAUGGAGCGAGAACAGAACAUCGACAAAUGAAGUUGAAGCGGCUGCUUGGCUGCGACCUGAAGCGUGGCUGUUGAAAAAUGCAGAUGACUCUUUGGUGUCAGUUAAAGGUUAAAGAAAAGCUAAUUGGCCCUCAAUGUUACCAUUGGCAGCAACAUAUCUCUCACUGCAAGGCAAGCAUGUAAAAUGCCCUAAAGGCUAACAUCGGCAAGAAGUCUGCAAGUUCAACAUGUCAAGUGCUAUGAAUUCUUGUGAGCUGGAGAUCGGCAAGAUCAUUAUGUCAAGUUUUGUGAAGUCCCAUGAGCAAGAUGUUACUAAGGGCUAGAGUUUGAGAUGUCUUAGAAAUUAAUGAACAAGGUGCCAUCAAGGGUAAACUGCUUGAUGUCAAUAAACAAUCUACUUUUUAUGAAAUACAACUGCAAGAAGGACAAAGAAUAACACGCUGCUUGUCUAGAAACAAUCAACUGUUGUUUGUGAAAGUCACCAGCAAAACAUACAAAGAAUAACACGCUGCUUGUCUAGAAACAAUCAACUGUUGUUUGUGAAAGUCACCAGCAAAACAUACAAAGAUGUUGGCGAAAAGAAGAGCAAAUACGACGAAGAAGCAACUCAGUCAAUCAAACGAAGAUGAUGCCAAAUGUUUUCUGCAUAAUUUCAUUAAGACUUAACAGCCAAAAGGCUAAAGUCAUUUAGAAACUAGAAAUUCAUCAUCAUGAACCGUGGUCCACAUGUAGAAAAGCAAAGAAUCGUUAACCCGACGGAAACCUUUCAAAUCGCUAGCCAGUUUCAAAAACAUGCCCAGAGAAGGCUUUAAGGUCUUUGACGACUUUGAAGAGGACUUUGAAGAAGCAGAAAGACGUUUUGGUCCACUCUGCCGUUUUGCAAAGAAAAAGGAGCAGCAAAAGCGAAACACCACUACAUCCAGACCACUAAGCGAUUUUCCAGACGACUGCCGUUUUGCAAAGAAAAAGGAGCAAAAGCAAAAGCGAAACACCGAUUUUUCCAGACGACUACAUCCAGACCAGCGAGACCACUACAUCCAGAGCAGGACCAAGAACCACGAACAGCAUUUCAGGCACAUGUUAUUUGCGUAAAGUUUAAACUAAGAUAAGGACAUCUCAUAAUUAUAUCACGUUCUUCUAAAGAGUUGUUCACUGAGCCCAAUUAUAUAUUUUAUUGCUGUUAUCAAUAAAUUGUUUUGUUAUCUGUUAUCA